rnacentral:tRNA from 1 species
AUUUAAAUAGCUUAAAUAAAGUUUAAUAAUGAAAAUAUUAAGAUGAUGAAUAAUCUUUAAAUAA